AAUUUGCGUGCAUGUUUUCUAUGUACGAAUGGGAAGGAACAAGAUAAACCUUUAGAAAUUACCUUCCGCGUUCUUGCAAAUUAAAAAAAAAAUGUUCUGUGUUGUGAGGGGAUCGAGUUCCAAUUUUUGGAAACUUACUGCGGCUACAACUUUGCUUCCGCCAUUUUUUCUCAAAGUUCGAGGCUUUAUUGCGAGCAUCUCACAAAAAAUUUACAUUUCAAAAUAUUGGCUUUCGUUGGCCACUUCUUUCUCCCAUGUUUCGGGCAGCAUACGAAUCCCGCCUCGGAAGAACCGAGCGUCUUUCGAGAAGAUCCAUGCAUCGAUCCAAUUUCGUAGUUGUUCAUAUGACAGGAAGCGCUGGGCAGCCAGGUCGUGUGCCAUUGAACUAACAAGUUGGCAGAGAAAGGGAACAAUGUCUGGAGAAUACGGCGGGUGGGGUAGGACAUGCCAUUUGAACGUUCUGUAUGUUUUGGCGCGUUUUGCGACAUGGGUCGAGCACUGUCAUGCUGCAAAAUCACCUUUUCAUGUCUAUAGCUGUAUUGUGGCAGUUUGUCUUUCAGUGAUCGGCUCAAACAAAUCAAGUGCUCUCGAUAAAGAUCUCCUGUGAUUGUUCCCGUCGUUUGCAGUAGCAACGGAAGCUUUCUCCCCUUCACGACCAUGCCGGUCUUCAACGUCAAAAUCACCGUUCUUGAAGCAUGGAAACCAUUUUCUGGUAAAUCUGUCACUAACAGGCGUCUCAUCAUAGCUUUUACCCAGCCGUAGAUUUCUUCAUAUCAAAGCAGAAAAUUAAAACCUCCCGCAGAUAACGAGAAUUUGGCUCGUAAGUUGGCACAUUCAGCCGAGAAUAACUUUAAGAUGGAAUCAAAAAUCGACUAAUAUUUUGAUGGCGCUAUGUUCUCAAAUGCCUAAGUUUACUGUAUGACACUUACGACCUACGACUUGCGUCACUACUUUCCAUUAAUACCGUGCACUGCAAAACGGCGGAAGCAAAGUUGUGGACCUAGUAUUUGUAGUCUUAAUUCACUUUUUUGAGUGGCCAUCUCGCAGGUACAUACUGUUCUCUUACAUGUUUGUACAGUUGUAUGUACAUAUUGAUAUUUAUUCACUUCUCCAACGCUUUAGGCCAGGUUUGAGAAAAAAUUUCAGCUGGAUCAGCAUAAAAAGACAUCUCAGCACCAGAACAACGGAACCAAGACACGGUUAAAAACGACACAGUAACCACUGAUCUCCUCAUUUUCGAAGCAUAUGGACGUCAAAAAUGAGUUCAAUGAAGAUAUUUGCGAGGCUUUAAUAAAAACGAACAUCUCGUUGAAUAAGAUGAGAGAGUGAAGGACCUUCUUGAAAAAAUACACAGGAAAAGAUAUUCCUCACGAGUCAACGCUGAGAAAGAACUAUGUGGACCCAUUGUAUGAAAAGACAUUGGAGAAUAUUAGGAAAGACAUUGGCGAUUCUCCAGUCUGGCUAUCCGUUGACGAAACCACUGAUUCUUACAGUCGUUAUAUGGUGCACGUCAUAGUUGGAAAACUCUCUGCUGACGAGACUGGAUGAGGACACCUCAUACUGUGCAAAGAAGUGAAAUGAACAACACACGCCACGAUUGCACGCACAGUCUAAGUUUCGCCAAUAUUGAAUAGUUUAAAAUAAAUUACAGGCGUGCUGUGGAGAAGUGAAGAUCAGAAACGUGGGGAGAACAAGGUUUUGGCCAUUUUGACGGAUAGUGCCGCAUAUAUGAUGAAGGUUGUAGAGUGUCUCCGGGUGUCAUUCUUCACCUUAAGUGUCGCUGAAGAGGUCAGAGCCGCAUUGCCAGAGGUCAGCUGCCUUAUAUCUUCGGCAAUGAAGGUUUUCAUCAAGACACCAAGUAAAGUGAGAGCUUUCAAGACUGCUCACUCUGACGGUCCUCUGCCACCUGAACCAGUCUUGACGAGGUCCUAAAGGGUUUUGAAGAUAGCGAAAAUUGAGCCAUACCAAAAUCCAAGGGCGCCUUGAAGAAUUCCAGCAUGUUACACAGCCUAUCUUUCACCCGAGCGCACUUGGGUGACCUUCCAAACCUAAGUGAGAAACUUGAGGCUCGUAACAUGGAAGUUACGAAGGCUGUGGCUCUCGACGGAGGACUCAGGACACAGAGCAAGAAUUGGCCAGGUCCGAUCGCUGAGAGAUUUAGAAGAAAAUUGGAUGCAGUUCUCGACAGAAACCCUGGUUGACCUACGAUUCGGAAGAUCGCUCAGUUUCUCGGAGCGUUUCUGUUCUUCCAGUAUCUAGAUGAUUUCACGUCGUCUAAUGUCGCUGCUCUUAAAUUUUUACCUGUAGUGUCAUGUGAUGUUGAACGAUCAUUUUCAAGAUUGAAAAUGUUAUUAUCCGGCCACAGAAAAAAUUAUCAUUUAGAGAAU